UGAACAGAACACGGGGGCUGUGAGUUGGAGGCGAGGCCAGAGACGACACCUAGAAGAGGCAGCUGUAACCUCUGUUCUGGGAAGCAUCAUCUCCCCUCUACCCCCUAGGUGUAGCAUGUGUUUCUGGAUUUAGCGUACAGGUGGGGAAGAAAAGACCAGAAGAACCACGAGGCCAUGCCGGGAAUUGGAGCUGUACUUGUAGAUAUAUCGUCCUCUUCUACAGAAGGGGGAAACCAGCUGGGCAAGGGGCAUGCACCUCAGAUUCUUCCAAGCCUCGGCAUGUUCGGAAACACCUGUGAUCCUAGCACUUGGGAAACAGAAACAGAAGGUCUCGAGUUCGAGGCCAGCUUGCACUACCUAGGAGGUCCUGUCUUUAAGAAAAGAGAAGGGCUCUUUUCUUUUUCCCUCCUCCAAAUCAGGCUGGGUCAAUGUAUAGAGCCCUCUCCUCCCUCACACGCUAGCUGUUAGGUUUGAUUUUCUGAAAGGGAAACAGUUUCUAAAAGUCACCCCCCACCAGCGCCGCUAACUAUAGCCAUGAUUGCCUAAAUUUAAAAGGCAAUUUGUUUCUUUGAAAUGAGAGUGAAAUCUACCCAGUCCAUCUGUGCAGUGGGUGGCAGACUCCGCCAGUUGAGCAAUUUGUGCAUGUUCAUAAUGCAGGGAAAACAAAACGGAACUGCAGAGCAGCAGCACAGUGCUCUGGGCCCCGCUCCCCAGGUCUCCAAGCGGCUGGCUUCUCUCCCUCUAGCCCUCUCCCCACACCUGGGUCAUACAGAGGGCAGGGCAGACUAGUAGAGGCCAGAGACUCUCUGGCAAUAUCACCAAUGCCGUCUCCACCACACUGAGUGUCAGGUGUCUCCCUGCUGGUUUUUAUAGAGGAAUGGGCCAGGAGCAGCUCCGGCUUCAUUCACUCAGACAGGAUGGCUGGUGCUCACUCCAUUGAUCAGGUUCUGAGCAUCGGUCCCAUAGUUACAGAAGGAAGGCUGUUACCCAACACCCUAAACAUUUCUGGGUCUGUCAGCCCCAAGCCUGAAGCUCAGAGUGUUAUCAUUAGCUAUAUAUCUACGCUCUGGGCUGUUAAAACCAACCCAAGGUCAAGGAGUGAAGACCCAAAUUAGCAAUACUUUCUUUCAGCCUUUGUAUAGAAGAGAGGAGAAUGUGCAGCCUAGGGUGUUGAUGUGAGUAGAUGCAGGAUCUGACUUCAUGCUAGGGCCUUCGCCCUAUGCCCUGAUGCUCUUAGGCACGUCCUCCAAGCUCUCGGGGGCCAGGACUCCUGGACUGACCUUAACCUAGCCCACACACCACACCAUGGAAGACCCGUUCUCUGCAAACGGAGGAGGAGAGAGGGGUUCGGGCGUGGUGGGGUCCUGAGAGGAGAGGGCCAUGUCUAGCCUCGGGCUGGGUGAAAGAUAGACGCCUUGCUCUCAAGCCUGUACAGCUAGGCAUUCUCAGCACACCGCUGAACCUCGGUAGGCCUUGGUUCCAGGGGCAAGCAUGCCCAACAGUGUGGGCAGCAUGGGGUGGCUGAGGAACAAAGGAAACAAUGCCCAUGAGAAAGGGGAUGGUGCCGUGGAGCCCUCUUACCUUGCGCCCUCUGACUGGAUAGCUCAAUCCCUGAAGCCUGCCUGUGUUAUGGCAUACUCAGUGGGCAGGCUCCUCAUCCGAAAGUGUACUAACAGAACCUACCUGGGGGUGGGGGGAGCAGGCAAGGACCAAGGGCGUGAAGAAAUGCAGCCCAGGCCCAGAGCGUCUUUCCUGGACUCCACUCACUAGGCAAUGGGACUGACUGCAGACUCUCUGAACCACUACGGAGAGCCUAAGGGGUUGUCCCCUGAGCGCUAAGGUGAGCCAGUUACAGCAGUGGGGAAGGGCGAUGACGCACCCUUCCUCUCCUGUCUGGGUAUACUUGGGUGGCUGAAGACCUGGAAGUUUCACCCUCAGAACCCAGGCGACAGGGACUACCUGGCCAAUCCCACUGCAAGGUAGACCAAAGCAAAAACUGUGGCCGGAGUCGGAACACCACUUCUACACCUCUUCCCAGCUAUGGAUGAAUUAAAACUAGAAAACAUCAAGGGACUUGCUAGGGUCCCUAAGGGUGGGUGGCAGAGCCAGAGCCGUAAUGGUGUUUAAUGAGCACUUACUAAGUCCUUUGCCUGGUCUGCCUCAUUUAAUCCUCACAUUCCUUUUCGGAGGCAUCUCCUCAUUCCCGGGAGGCCCAAAGGCUUACUACACCUUGCCCUUGCUCCCCGCGCCAGCCAGCAGGGAAAGGCUGACAAUAGAAGCCAACCCAAGCCGCCCCCACUGCACCACCCAGCCUCCUGCCGCCGGCUCACAGCCCAGCUUCCCCCGUGCUGGGAAUCCAGAAGGGACUCCACGACAGUGCACAGAGCCGUGUCAGAUCUGACCCCGGGACUUGAGCUGCCUCCCGAAGGCCCCCCUUUGCGCCCCUUCCCCUGGGUUUCCUAGAGGAGGCGAGCGGCGCCCGAUCUCCCCCCCCACCCCCGACCCCGCGCGGACGGCCCGCCACCCCGCGCGCGGGUCCCGGCCCCCUUACAGCGCGUGGGCGGCGAUCCAGCAGCAGGCGGCGCAGAUCCACAGGCCGAAGGAGAUGCAGACGCGGCGGCGGGCGAAGCAGCGGUCCAGUUGCUGCAGCCUUCAAACCAAGAUGACGACACUUGGCAGUUCCAACUGUUGUUGAGAAGGGUUCAACAGAGCGAUCUGUGUCCUGGAAAGAACCACAGUAUCCGGAUUUGACCUUCAGAGAUGCAUACAAAGACCAGAGAAGAGCCAGCGUGGUGACGCACACCUGUAAUCCCAGCACUUCAGCUCAGGGCAGGAGGAGCACACAGUUGGGGCCAGCCUGGGCUACAGAGCGAGAUCCCAUCUUCACAAAAAUAAAAAUGACUAUAAAGGAGGAAGCACGGCGAACACAAGAGUCUGAGUGAGAUUAGUAAAAUAAAGAAGGCAAAGGAUAUAGUCUAGUCUCUCUGAAUUCCUGAUCUGCCUGUCCUCUGUCACUGUAAGAAAUGACUCAAAAGUGAUUUGACCACUGUUUCCCCUAGCAUGGGAGCAGGGAUAAUACACAGAGCACCUCUUAGGAGCUGCCCACACAGGCACCGGAUACAGUCAGAAGAGAGGAGCCAUUCAGAACCACACUUUUGACUCACACACACACCCAGAGGCCAGUCACCAGCAACAGAUUAGAUUCUAUUAGCAAAAAGAAAUGCAGGUUUGCAAAUAUUUUCAGUUUAAUGCCCCAGCCCACCCAUGUUCCUCAAUUAAACAAAUGCAAAACACCUGGGUGGCUCUUGCCACACUCAGAAAUCAGGCACUAGUUCUGAUCCAAGAGUACUGGGGAGGGGAGGCCCCGCUCAUCAGAGACACCUGGAGAGAAAUGGCUUUUCACUGAGAACAGCCCCACCUACUUACUGCACUUCCCUGUGAGGGUCGUAAGUCUGGAAUAUCCAGGCUCAUCUACACCACACAGCUUCAACCCCUGCGACAUAAACAUGAUAAAACUCAGGAGAGGUAGAUGCCAUCCUUUUAUUUUCUAGAGUCCCACGGAUGAGAAAAACAAUAAAAGUUAAAUUCCUUGUGUAUCUUCUAAUGUUGAA